UACAGGGGGUGCAAACGUUGCUCGGAAUCAUUGGGCGUAAAGCGCACGUAGGCGGUCUGUUAUGUCGGAUGUGAAAGCCCUCGGCUCAACUGAGGAAGUGCAUCCGAAACUGGCAGGCUAGAGUACUAAAGAGGGUCGCGGAAUUCCCGGUGUAGAGGUGAAAUUCGUAGAUAUCGGGAGGAACACCGGUGGUGAAGGCGGCGACCUGGGUAGAUACUGACGCUGAGGUGCGAAAGCGUGGGGAGCAAACAGG
rnacentral:rRNA from 1 species